rnacentral:rRNA from 1 species
UACGUAGGGUGCAAGCGUUAAUCGGAAUUACUGGGCGUAAAGCGUGCGCAGGCGGUGAUGUAAGACAGAUGUGAAAUCCCAGGGCUCAACCUUGGAACUGCAUUUGUGACUGCAUCGCUGGAGUGCGGCAGAGGGGGAUGGAAUUCCGCGUGUAGCAGUGAAAUGCGUAGAUAUCCGGAGGAACACCAAUGGCGAAGGCAGUGUCCUGGGAAGUACCUGACGCUCAGGUGCGAAAGCUAGGGGAGCGAACAGG